CAGUAGCCGCGGGAAAACAGAGGGUGCGAGCGUUAAUCGGAUUUACUGGGCGUAAAGCGUGCGUAGGCGGCUUUUUAAGUCGGAUGUGAAAUCCCUGAGCUUAACUUAGGAAUUGCAUUCGAUACUGGGAAGCUAGAGUAUGGGAGAGGAUGGUAGAAUUCCAGGUGUAGCGGUGAAAUGCGUAGAGAUCUGGAGGAAUACCGAUGGCGAAGGCAGCCAUCUGGCCUAAUACUGACGCUGAGGUACGAAAGCAUGGGGAGCAAACAGGAUUAGAUACCCGUGUAGUCCCUGUCUCUUAUAA
rnacentral:rRNA from 1 species